AUUGAACGCUGGCGGCAUGCUUUACACAUGCAAGUCGAACGGCAGCGCGGGCUUCGGCCUGGCGGCGAGUGGCGAACGGGUGAGUAAUGCAUCGGAACGUGCCCAGUAGUGGGGGAUAGCCCGGCGAAAGCCGGAUUAAUACCGCAUACGACCUGAGGGUGAAAGCGGGGGACCGAAAGGCCUCGCGCUAUUUGAGCGGCCGAUGUCGGAUCGGCCAGUUGGUGGGGUAAAGGCUUACGAAGGCGACGAUCCGUAGCUGGUCUGAGAGGACGACCAGCCACACUGGGACGGAGACACGGCCCAGACUCCUACGGGAGGCAGCAGUGGGGAAUUUUGGACAAUGGGGGCAACCCUGAUCCAGCCAUGCCGCGUGCGGGAAGAAGGCCUUCGGGUUGUAAACCGCUUUUGUUCGGGAAGAAAUCCUCUGGGCUAAUACCCCGGGGGGAUGACGGUACCGGAAGAAUAAGCACCGGCUAACUACGUG
rnacentral:rRNA from 1 species